rnacentral:rRNA from 1 species
UUUGAAAUCUGGCCCCCUCGGGGUCCNAGUUGUAAUUUGCAGAGGAUGCUUCGGGUGCGGCCCCCGUCUAAGUGCCCUGGAACGGGCCGUCAUAGAGGGUGAGAAUCCCGUCUGGGACGGGGUGUCCGCGUCCGUGUGAAGCUCCUUCGACGAGUCGAGUUGUUUGGGAAUGCAGCUCUAAAUGGGUGGUAAAUUUCAUCUAAAGCUAAAUACUGGCCGGAGACCGAUAGCGCACAAGUAGAGUGAUCGAAAGAUGAAAAGCACUUUGAAAAGAGAGUUAAAAAGCACGUGAAAUUGUUGAAAGGGAAGCGCUUGCGACCAGACUCGCCCGCGGGGUUCAGCCGGCAUUCGUGCCGGUGUACUUCCCCGCGGGCGGGCCAGCGUCGGUUUGGGCGGCCGGUCAAAGGCCCCCGGAAUGUAGUGCCCCUACGGGGGCACCUUAUAGCCGGGGGUGCAAUGCGGCCAGCCUGGACCGAGGAACGCGCUUCGGCACGGACGCUGGCAUAAUGGUUGCAAACGACCC